rnacentral:rRNA from 1 species
AGUGAACGCUGGCAGUAGGCCUAACACAUGCAAGUCGAACGGCAGCACAGUAAGAGCUUGCUCUUACGGGUGGCGAGUGGCGGACGGGUGAGGAAUACAUCGGAAUCUACUUUUUCGUGGGGGAUAACGUAGGGAAACUUACGGUAAUACCGCAUACGACCUACGGGUGAAAGCAGGGGAUCUUCGGACCUUGCGCGAUUGAAUGAGCCGAUGUCGGAUUAGCUAGUUGGCGGGGUAAAGGCCCACCAAGGCGACGAUCCGUGGCAGGUCUGAGAGGAUGAUCAGCCACACUGGAACUGAGACACGGUCCAGACUCCUACGGGAGGCAGCAGUGGGGAAUAUUGGACAAUGGGCGCAAGCCUGAUCCAGCCAUACCGCGUGGGUGAAGAAGGCCUUCGGGUUGUAAAGCCCUUUUGUUGGGAAAGAAAAGCAGCAGGUUAAUACCCCGCUGUUCUGACGGUACCCAAAGAAUAAGCACCGGCUAACUUCGUG